rnacentral:tRNA from 1 species
GCCCGGGUGGCGGAACUGGUAGACGCUACGGACUUAAAAUCCGUUGCCAGAAAUGGCGUGCCGGUUCGAUUCCGGCUCCGGGCACCA